UCCCCGUGCGCUUCUAGCAAGCAGCCUGCGCCCCAGAGAGUACCGGAGCGCCGCGGGUCGGUCCCCGGCGCACCGGGCCAUGCAGUGGAGGCCGCGGCGGAGCUCCGAGCGGCGGUAGCGCCCCCUGUGAAUUGGCCCGCGAUGCCCCGGCCACUGUGAACGGUGCUGACGGCGGGAAUACGCUGAAACCAGGACAAGCUGAGCCUCGGACACAGUCGACUCAGCGCGCCCGCAGCAAGCUCAGAGGACUCGGGAGAGCGGCGAGCGCGGGGAAGGCCUCCCCGCACCGGCUGGGGAAGCCGGCCGGUGCCUCGCGGGGACAGGCGCUCGAGCUGGCACUGGCGGCCAGGG
rnacentral:other from 12 species